AUUGAACGCUGGCGGCAUGCUUUACACAUGCAAGUCGAACGGCAGCGCGGGCUUCGGCCUGGCGGCGAGUGGCGAACGGGUGAGUAAUACAUCGGAACGUGCCCAGUAGUGGGGGAUAGCUCGGCGAAAGCCGGAUUAAUACCGCAUACGACCUGAGGGUGAAAGCGGGGGAUCUUCGGACCUCGCGCUAUUGGAGCGGCCGAUGGCAGAUUAGCUAGUUGGUGGGGUAAAGGCCUACCAAGGCGACGAUCUGUAGCUGGUCUGAGAGGACGACCAGCCACACUGGGACUGAGACACGGCCCAGACUCCUACGGGAGGCAGCAGUGGGGAAUUUUGGACAAUGGGCGAAAGCCUGAUCCAGCAAUGCCACGUGUGUGAUGAAGGCCUUCGGGUUGUAAAGCACCUUUGGCGGGAACGAAAAGGACUGUGCCAAUACCACGGUUCGAUGACGGUACCCGCAGAAUAAGCACCGGCUAACUACGUG
rnacentral:rRNA from 1 species